AUACUCGGGUUUUUUCUUUUGGAUAAUGACUGCUGUAUUCAUGGGGCCGACAUUUGGUUUUAGAGUUCACUCAACUUUUAUUAGAAUUUUUCUUUUGUUGAUUUUGAGAGGAUAUCUUACCUACUCGACUCAAAGUGAUAUUAACUGCCUCAGAGCUAUAAAAGAUUCUUUGGAAGACCCAGAUGGCUACCUCACGACAUGGAACUUCGAUAACAAGACUGAAGGUUUUAUAUGUAAGUUUAUUGGAAUCGAUUGUUGGCAUCCGGAUGAGAACAGGGUCUUGAAUAUUCGGCUUGGGGAUAUGGGACUAAAGGGUAAGUUUCCUCUUGGUGUUGCUGG
rnacentral:lncRNA from 1 species